UACGAAGGGGGCUAGCGUUGUUCGGAAUUACUGGGCAUAAAGCGUGCGCAGGCGGCCAUCCAAGUCAGUGGUGAAAGCCCGGAGCUCAACUCCGGAAUUGCCAUUGAAACUGUUUGGCUCGAGUACGAGAGAGGUGAGUGGAAUUCCCAGUGUAGAGGUGAAAUUCGUAGAUAUUGGGAAGAACACCGGUGGCGAAGGCGGCUCACUGGCUCGUAACUGACGCUCAUGCACGACAGCGUGGGGAUCAAACAGG
rnacentral:rRNA from 1 species